ACCGACUCAACAGGAAGUGAAGGAAGAGCUUCACUGUUGGCUUCUGCUCAGCAGAGUCUGUAGGGAAGUCCUGGGAAUUUCAGUUCAAAAUCCUCAAAAAUCUUUUUGUCAGCUUAAUUUUUUAUGAAGUCAUAUUUUCAAUAAUUCUUUGAUAUUGUUUUAUUUAAGAAGAAGCCAUUCAGCCAAUGCCCAGUUUACACGGGAAGAUUUUUAUGGUGACGUUCGUCUUGAUUUCCUCCUCAGCAACUUUAGAACAACCUGAAUGUCAGAGCAUCAAACCCGUCAUCCUGCCGCGCGUUCAGAGCCAUCUGCUCGGACCGCUCCGGGUGUGUGUGUGUGUGUGUGUGUUCAGAGCGAUCUGCUCGGACCGCUCCGGUCUAAAAUCAGGGAUAUUCAGCAUGUGGGUCGGUCUUGGCCCGACGUCACAGCGUGUGUUGUUGUUCCCUGUCAACCAAUGAGAGCGCAGCCUGCUGAAUGUGACAGCCAAUCAGAAAGCGUGGUGAUGUAAACACGGAGGGGAAUCCCAAAGAACAGCUGACAUGGCAACAGAUCCGAGGUGGAGGACUGUAGUGGAUAUGUGGCAACAAUAUGGAUGUUUGUUCAGCAUUUCAUGUGAAGCCGAUCAGAACCGAGACUAACAGGAGUUGGACUGAAAUGAAUGUAGCCAGUAACUCCUCAGCUGAUUAUAACGAUAAGAUUCAUUCAACCACAGCCUGACACCGACACUAGCCACAUGAAUGCAAACAUAACAUCAAAACAGCAAAAACUUUAAAUCUUAGAAUUAACCGGUGAAGCUAAAUAAACAGAAACUUCUAAACAAUGUAAAGUUAAUAAAAACCCAGAACCGCUCACCUCCGUAUGACACAGAGCCACUGCUCACCGUCUCCACUCCUCCACCCAACACCUUUUCCUUUUGGUGCGUCUUUCAUCGCUGAGGAUCAUCAGACUGUUACCUCUAAAUCGUCGGCCAUGUUUGUUUACUCUAAAUUCACGUGUGGUAUUGGUGGAUGUUGGGGGAUUUCCUGUCUGGAGUCUGAAUGUUGGGGAGUGGAUUCGGGUUGUGUGUUGCUCCUUCUGGACACCACACACACACACACACACACACAACGACCAGAGAGUUACUGUUUUUACCAUGGAGUGUGUUCUCUCAGGGUUUAAAA